rnacentral:rRNA from 1 species
ACUGGAACUGAAACACGGUCCAGACUCCUACGGGAGGCAGCAGUGGGGAAUAUUGCGCAAUGGGCGAAAACCUGACGCAGCGACGCCGCGUGAGGGAUGAAGGUUUUCGGAUCGUAAACCUCUGUCAGAAGGGAAGAAACUACGUUGUGCUAAUCAGCAGCGUACUGACGGUACCUUCAAAGGAAGCACCGGCUAACUCC